AUCAAUGGAUGUAUGAUGCUGCAAGUUAAUAAUUUCGUCAGGCUUUCAGUAAGUACCAACUUUUGCUAUUGAAAAUUUAAUAUUUGCCUGUUUACUUUGCAAGAUUAGGGUCGGAGCAUGAAUUUUACGGUAUUAAGUGCAAGAGUUGUUUGAAUCAUUGUGUGUUUUUGGAUUGAUUUUCUCUGUGACAGGUUCCUUCAUAAUGACAAGCUCUGGACAUUGCUAACACAUUAGCCAAUUCCACUUUACAAUGCUUUGUUUUUGUUUAUUUUAACUCCAUAGAGUAAUUUGUGGGACUCCUUCUAACAAGGAUAAUAGAGUAAAGAAGUACUAAAAGGUCCUAGUUCUCAGAUUACAUUAAUACAUAAAAAUAAAUUUCAAAAACAGGUUUUUUGAUCCACCAUAUGGAGUAUAACGCACUCUUUUGCUAUUGAAAGUUUCGAUAGCUAAUCUCAUGACCUUCUUAAUCAUUAGGUAGGGAGCUUUAGCACCUGCAAGACCAUAUAUGCUUUUAUUAAAUUCAGUAGGUUUACUGCCAUAACUUAAACUCUUUCAUAUUUAUGUGAAAUUAUGUAAUUUUGCUUUAUGUUUUGGUGCUUCUUUUUUCUGAGAUUGAUUUCCUUUUACUUUUUAUGUUUGAAAGAUACAUUCAUACAGAGAACUAAGAAAUUGUACCACGACACUUAUACUCAGCGGACUAUUUCAAAGUUGAAUAAUGAACUCUAUGAAUUCCACCAAAUAAUGACUUGCAAUGUUCAGGAAGUUCUUGGCGUUGGUGAAAAGUUGGAUUAGGUCAGCCAAAUGUCUAAUCGUUUAACAUCAAAGUCUCGUGCAUAUGCAGAUAAGGCGAGAGACUUGAAUCAACAGGCUCUGAUCCGAAAGUGGGCUCCUGUUGCCAUGCUCUGCAGGUGCUAAAGCUCUCUACAAAAUCUCUAAAAGAGAACUUUCAUUUCUAGUGACGAGUUCCAAGUGCAAGGGAAGAAGAGAUUCCAAGAUUUAGGGAAGUGAUCAGGAGGAUGCCAAAAAC
rnacentral:lncRNA from 1 species